CCUGGCUCAGAUUGAACGCUGGCGGCAGGCCUAACACAUGCAAGUCGAACGGUAGCACAGAGAGCUUGCUCUCGGGUGACGAGUGGCGGACGGGUGAGUAAUGUCUGGGAAACUGCCUGAUGGAGGGGGAUAACUACUGGAAACGGUAGCUAAUACCGCAUAACGUCGCAAGACCAAAGAGGGGGACCUUCGGGCCUCUUGCCAUCAGAUGUGCCCAGAUGGGAUUAGCUAGUAGGUGGGGUAACGGCUCACCUAGGCGACGAUCCCUAGCUGGUCUGAGAGGAUGACCAGCCACACUGGAACUGAGACACGGUCCAGACUCCUACGGGAGGCAGCAGUGGGGAAUAUUGCACAAUGGGCGCAAGCCUGAUGCAGCCAUGCCGCGUGUAUGAAGAAGGCCUUCGGGUUGUAAAGUACUUUCAGCGGGGAGGAAGGYGWUAAGGUUAAUUAMCYYURKCRAU
rnacentral:rRNA from 1 species